rnacentral:rRNA from 1 species
CUCCCAAACCCCUGUGAACAUACCACUUGUUGCCUCGGCGGAUCAGCCCGCUCCCGGUAAAACGGGACGGCCCGCCAGAGGACCCCUAAACUCUGUUUCUAUAUGUAACUUCUGAGUAAAACCAUAAAUAAAUCAAAACUUUCAACAACGGAUCUCUUGGUUCUGGCAUCGAUGAAGAACGCAGCAAAAUGCGAUAAGUAAUGUGAAUUGCAGAAUUCAGUGAAUCAUCGAAUCUUUGAACGCACAUUGCGCCCGCCAGUAUUCUGGCGGGCAUGCCUGUUCGAGCGUCAUUUCAACCCUCAAGCACAGCUUGGUGUUGGGACUCGCGUUAAUUCGCGUUCCCCAAAUUGAUUGGCGGUCACGUCGAGCUUCCAUAGCGUAGUAGUAAAACCCUCGUUACUGGUAAUCGUCGCGGCCACGCCGUUAAACCCCAACUUCUGAAUGUUGACCUCGGAUCAGGUAGGAAUACCCGCUGAACUUAAGCAUAUCAAUAAGCGGAGGAAAA